UGGUUUACUGCCCAUGCGCGUACUCAGAGAACCGUAGUCACGCAUGGUAACCACUACUUCAGUGUGUUGAUACCGUUCAGAUUGUUGACAGUGAACGCAUCUCACGAAAGGCGAUACAACGCUGAGGUCUAACUUCAAUGCACGUCAGCAUCCCCUCUAACAGCGGCGGUAAACCACGUCCCUGAACACAACUAUGUAAGAACUCAUACUGGGAAACAAAUACGGUGAUUUUGGUGAUGUACCUUCCCAGCUGGACACGUCUCUCCAGCUCGCUCAUCUCCACUUCUGCCUCCAAAGUGGCCGGCCCCUGAAUGGGGCUCACCAGCAUCAGUUGACCUGUCAGACGGUCUGAACGCUGGACUGUGAAGUGGCGCCGAGCUAACCUCCCCCCCAGCAGGGAGAAGCGAAGCGUAUCGCCCAUUGGACGCAAUGCUGAGACCCUGAACAUGACUCGAGGAGCUGACAGGUUGGACACGACAGCCAUGUAAUGGUAGGAGAAGGAAUUUGGGGUCUGAGAACAUGCCUUGUUGUCCGCAGGACAGGGGUUACGUUCACAGCGCCUGGAAAAAAGUAAAACAAGUUAAAACAGAGGUAGAUGUAUCUAAGAGAAUGUGGAAUUGUAUUAAAACUAUGCAAGUAA